AAGUCGUAACAAGGUUUCCGUAGGUGAACCUGCGGAAGGAUCAUUAACACGUUCUAAACGUAUCAACCAACUGUGCCAUUGUUCACAUCCUCCCUGUCUUUUCCUUUUUUAUCGAAGGGGAGAUGGGCUAAAUGAAGGGUGGUGUUAAUUCGACACGUACUGUUUGUUUUGUCUUCUUCGGAAAACAGAACUUCUGUGCUGUGCUCGUGUUCACUAUUCUUCGCCAUUUUUUCACGAUUAUCACCCCCAUGAUAUUACUACUUAGUUGACUUAUUUUCGGAGGCUCGUGUCUUAAUUGCCACUGUCUCUCUCAUUUACUGAGUAAAUGAAAAUACAACUCUUAGCAAUGGAUAUCUUGGUUCUC
rnacentral:misc_RNA from 1 species